rnacentral:other from 1 species
AAUCUCCUGCGAUGUUCGAUAUAAUCCUGGAUACCUUCGAUCCUAACUUUAUAUUUUGGGGUCAUGUUCUUUGAUUGCAUUUGUGCAAAACCACAUCUUCGUGGAUAGCCUGUUGUGAUCUCGACUAACCCCACUUGCUUCUCCGGUUCGAGAGCAACGGUUUGUAACGGCAUAUGCGGGAGAUUU